rnacentral:rRNA from 1 species
CCGCAAACCGACACAGGUGGGUGAGGAGAGUAUCCUAAGGCCAGCGAGAGAACUGUUGUUAAGGAACUCGGCAAAAUGACCCCGUAACUUAGGGAUAAGGGGGGCCACCAUCAGGUGGCCGCAGAGAAUAGGCCCAAGCGACUGUUUACCAAAAACAUAGGUUUCUGCUAAGUCGCAAGACGAUGUAUAGGAGCUGACGCCUGC